rnacentral:piRNA from 1 species
UGUAAAUUUGUGGGUAGGUAGCAUUUUAG